rnacentral:sRNA from 1 species
GGGGAAGGACGAGAAGCUUCGACCAAGGUUCGACUCGAGCGUCAGCGAGAGAGCGUUGCCGCAGGCAACGACCCGUAGGGCGAAGCGCGCAGCGCUGAGUAAUCCUUCCCCCACCACCA